rnacentral:rRNA from 1 species
GUUGAUAAGGUUAAGUGAAUAAGGGCGCACGGUGGAUGCCUUGGCACUAGGAGCCGAUGAAGGACGGGACUAACACCGAUAUGCUUUGGGGAGCUGUACGUAAGCUAUGAUCCAGAGAUUUCCGAAUGGGGGAACCCAGCAUCUUUAAUAGGAUGUUACGAUUGUGUGAAUACAUAGCACAUUCGAGGUAGACGCAGAGAACUGAAACAUCUAAGUACCUGCAGGAAGAGAAAGAAAAUUCGAUUCCCUGAGUAGCGGCGAGCGAAACGGGAAAAGCCCAAACCAACAAGCUUGCUUGUUGGGGUUGUAGGACUCCGAUAUGGUCGUUCUUUCAGAUAGUCGAAUGACUUGGAAAAGUCAGUCAAAGAGGGUAAAAACCCCGUAGACGAAAUGUGGAAGACACCUAGGAGGAUCCUGAGUACGGCGGAACACGAGAAAUUCCGUCGGAAUCCGGGAGGACCAUCUCCCAAGGCUAAAUACUCCCUAGUGACCGAUAGUGAACCAGUACCGUGAGGGAAAGGUGAAAAGCACCCCGGAAGGGGAGUGAAAUAGAACCUGAAACCGUGUGCCUACAACAAGUCAAAGCCCGUUAAUGGGUGAUGGCGUGCCUUUUGUAGAAUGAACCGGCGAGUUACGAUUGCAUGCGAGGUUAAGUUGAAGAGACGGAGCCGCAGCGAAAGCGAGUCUGAAUAGGGCGUUUGAGUAUGUAGUCGUAGACCCGAAACCAUGUGAUCUACCCAUGUCCAGGUUGAAGGUGCGGUAAAACGCACUGGAGGACCGAACCCACGUACGUUGAAAAGUGCGGGGAUGAGGUGUGGGUAGCGGAGAAAUUCCAAACGAACUUGGAGAUAGCUGGUUCUCUCCGAAAUAGCUUUAGGGCUAGCCUCGGAAUUGAGAAUGAUGGAGGUAGAGCACUGUUUGGACUAGGGGCCCAUCUCGGGUUACCGAAUUCAGAUAAACUCCGAAUGCCAUUCAUUCAUAUCCGGGAGUCAGACUGUGAGUGAUAAGAUCCAUAGUCGAAAGGGAAACAGCCCAGACCACCAGCUAAGGUCCCAAAAUAUAUGUUAAGUGGAAAAGGAUGUGGGGUUGCACAGACAACUAGGAUGUUGGCUUAGAAGCAGCCACCAUUUAAAGAGUGCGUAAUAGCUCACUAGUCGAGUGACCCUGCGCCGAAAAUGUACCGGGGCUAAACAUAUUACCGAAGCUGUGGAGUACACCUUUAGGUGUAUUGGUAGGAGAGCGUUCUAAGGGCGUCGAAGGCAGAUCGUGAGGACUGCUGGAGCGCUUAGAAGUGAGAAUGCCGGUAUGAGUAGCGAAAGACAGGUGAGAAUCCUGUCCACCGAAUGACUAAGGUUUCCUGGGGAAGGCUCGUCCGCCCAGGGUUAGUCGGGACCUAAGCCGAGGCCGAUAGGCGUAGGCGAUGGAUAACAGGUUGAUAUUCCU